UAUCGAACAGCACCAAAACUUCCCUCUUCUCUCUCGAUUCCUUUCUUCUCCAUUGAAAUCUCUCUUCAUCUUUGUCAAAUUUUCAUUCUAAAUUUCGAAUAAUCGUUACUCAAUUUCGAAUUUAGUUCAUAGUUUUGAUUUGAUUGAUUGAAAAUUCAAUCAUCUCUAACCUGUAAUUCGAAUUGGGUGAAUUGAUCGAACCACCACCACCAUCACCAACUUCGUUUUUUGCUUUUUACAUCGAAAUUGGGUGAUUGAUUGAACCACCACCACUGUCACCAUCUUCGUUCUCUGCUUACUCAAGGUUGAGGAGUUCAGGUGAGGGUUACAUGACUUUCUUAAUGAAUUUCUUAAUCUCGUCUCAGCUUGAAAGUUAAAGGGAAAGGGCCUAUUAUGUAUGUCAAUUUUAUUAUGCUUAGAUAAAAAGUAGUGGCGAAUUUUGAAUGUAGAUACUAAGUUUUGGAAUUUCAGACAUGGGAUUUCGAUUGUUUAUUCCAUUGUUUUGGAAUUUCAGACAUGGGAUUUUUUCUAUAUGUACAAUCUCAUGCAUUGAAUUCCAUUGUUUUGGAAUUUGAUUGUUGUUCUAUCCAUGUUUCUUUUACCAUUGUUAUGGAACAUCACCUGUUUGUCUAAUUUUCUAAUAGAAUACCAACAUUGUUUAUUGCGUUAACGUCUUCUGUUACACCUGUGGAUGGACGAGUUCUCAUCCACGACAAAGUCCGAGACUUACUGAUUUAGCUCAAGUUUGAGACUUAACUGAGAGUGAUACUGAAAAAGAAAGGUGGCUGCGUCGUGCUCAAUAUAUGGCAAAACUAGAUUCAACUACGAAAGGCGAAAGACAUGAGCGCAAUGAAUGACGUCCUGCGCUUAUCGCGCAAGAAUUAGUGCAGCAAAUCGCUAACUAGAGGAUCGUGAAGCCAGUUUUUUCCAGCUGUGAACAUGAGAGGCUGGGGAUUUAGAAGAUCCAUUAUAGAGAGAACUCAAAGAGAAUCAAUAUCUUUUGUUAUAGGGUUCAGUGUAUACCAAAAAUACAUGCACAUGAUGAGGUCCAAAAAGGUUGCAGAAAAGAGAUUGUUGUAGCAUCAAUUAGAAGUUCUAUUUAUGGAGUGAUUUAAACGUCGUGAAGCUGAUGCAAAAAAUGAGGCUAGAAAGCAGAAAAGAGGAGAAAAAGACUUUUGCAGAGUAGCUACAGGUGGGAGAGAGUCCAGAACAGAAAGUCAACUUGCAUCUUCCAUGCCAAAAUGUGCCGAAACAUUUGAUAUUAUAUGCAUAUUUCGGGGUUUGAAAACAUGAACAUCCCUAUGCCAAAAUAUGCCGACUGAGAAAGCCAUUUUUCUCUCCCAGGAACGACGAUGUGGCGGAAAGGCUGCAGAAAUUAAAGACAAGGGAUCAUCAACACAGGAAAACGGACCAGUAAUCCUCUUUUGUUCCAUAGACAACAUAUUGUGCCAACAAAUAAAUUAUGGGUGUUGUUCAACUGACAACAUAGCUGGGUUCAAAUAAUUGCAUUUUAAGUUAUGGAAAUCGGGUUGUUAAUCAGGGAUUCACAAUGUGGUAUGAUUCUGACAUUUGAGUCCCCAUAUAAUAGAUUCCUAAAUUGGUUUAUUUUGAUUUUA